CCUACGGGUGGCUGCAGUAGGGAAUAUUGGGCAAUGGAGGCAACUCUGACCCAGCCAUGCCGCGUGCAGGAAGAAGGCCCUCUGGGUUGUAAACUGCUUUUGGACAGGGACAAAAAGAUCGUGCGCGGUCAAUUGAGUGUACUGUCAGAAUAAGCACCGGCUAACUCCGUGCCAGCAGCCGCGGUAAUACGGAGGGUGCAAGCGUUGUCCGGAUUUAUUGGGUUUAAAGGGUGCGUAGGUGGCUUACUAAGUCAGUGGUGAAACCCCUGGGCUUA
rnacentral:rRNA from 1 species